rnacentral:lncRNA from 1 species
GAAAACAAGCUGCAAAAAUUUUAUUUCUCUCGUUCUGAUCGCGAGCUGAGGGCAGAAAUCGGAGGACCACGAGUGAAAGCAAUCGAUCCUGUACCUUCCCUUCUCCCAGCCGUGGCCAUUUGCAACCUCAACCAAGCUGCACUUCACCAUCCCAGCCGCAACUCAUCAAACCAGAACCAAACUUGCGAGUGAAGCCGAGAUGAAGGAAAGAAAAUUUCCAGAUUUUCGUGUGGGAGCUGAGUUGUUUCUGAGGUAAUUGCUGGGCUAGAUUAGGUUAAUUACUAAUAGAUAAAGACAUAACAGAGCCUGC